UGUGGAGUGUAUAGAAGUGAGAAUGCCGGAAUGAGUAGCGCGAAUGCAGUGAGAAUCUGCAUGGCCGAAAGGCUCAGGUUUCUGGAGGAAGGUUCGUCCGCUCCAGGUUAGUCGGGAGCUAAGGUGAGGCCUAACGGCGUAGCCGAUGCACAGACGGUAGAGAUUCCGUCACCACCAAAAGAGUUAAACACAGGGAUACAUUUGAAGUCUCGGAGCCGGGUGUUGGUUCCGGUAGCGAUCGAGGGAAAUUAGUACCGAAGUCCGGGAUGGAAGAUGGCGAGAAAAGCUGUGUGUAUUUCUGCGGUGCCCGUACCGCAAACCGACACAGGUAGGUAGGAAGAAGAUUCUAAGGCCAACGGGAGAAGGGUUGUUAAGGAACUCGGCAAAUUGACCCCGUAACUUCGGGAGAAGGGGUGCUCCAGAGAUGGAGCCGCAGAAAAUCGGCCCAAGCAACUGUUUACCAAAAACACAGGUUUGUGCUAAAUCGAAAGAUGACGUAUACGAGCUGACGCCUGCCCGGUGCUGGAAGGUUAAGAGGAGAUGUGCAAGCAUUGAAUCGAAGCCCCAGUGAACGGCGGCCGUAACUAUAACGGUCCUAAGGUAGCGAAAUUCCUUGUCAGGUAAGUUCUGACCCGCAUGAAAGGCGUAAUGAUUUGGGCACUGUCUCGACAGCCCGCCCGGCGAAAUUGUAGUACCGGUGAAGAUGCCGGUUACCCGCGACAAGACGGAAAGACCCCAUGGAGCUUUACUGUAGCCUAAUAUUGGGUUUCGAUGUUGCAUGCACAGGAUAGAUGGGACACUGGGAAGCAAGUGCUUUGGCAUUUGUGGAGUGGCCGUUGGGAUACCAUCCUUGCGAUAUUGGAAUUCUAACCUGCGCCUUUGAAUCAAGGCGGGGGACAUUGUUAGGUGGGCAGUUUGACUGGGGCGGUCGCCUCCUAAAGAGUAACGGAGGCGUUCAAAGGUUCGCUCAGCUUGAACGGAAAUCAAGCAAAAGAGUGCAAACGCAGAAGCGAGCCUAACUGCGAGACUGACGGGUCGAGCAGUAACGAAAGUUGGAGUUAGUGAUCCGGUGGUAUGUGAGUGGAAAUGCCAUCGCUCAACGGAUAAAAGUUACCCUUGGGAUAACAGGCUGAUCUCCCCCCAGAGUCCACAUCGACGGGGAGGUUUGGCACCUCGAUGUCGGCUCAUCGCAUCCUGGGGCUGUAUUCGGUCCCAAGGGUUUGGCUGUUCGCCAAUUAAAGCGGUACGCGAGCUGGGUUCAGAACGUCGUGAGACAGUUCGGUCCCUAUCUGUCGUGGGCGCAGGAUAUUUGAUGGGAGCUGUUCCUAGUACGAGAGGACCGGAGCGGACGUACCUCUGGCGCACCAGUUGUUCUGCCAAGGGCAUAGCUGGGCAACUAUGUACGGAUCGGAUAAACGCUGAAAGCAUCUAAGCGUGAAGCCGACCCAAAGAUAAGAUAUCCCAUUGUUUCAAACAAGUAAGACCCCUUGAAGACUACAAGGUUGAUAGGCACGAUGUGUAAGUGGAGCGAUCCAUACAGCAAGCGUGUACUAAUAGGUCGAGGGCUUGACCUA
rnacentral:rRNA from 1 species